rnacentral:rRNA from 1 species
UAUGUAGGGUGCGAGCGUUAAUCGGAAUUACUGGGCGUAAAGCGUGCGCAGGCGGUUCGCUAAGACCGAUGUGAAAUCCCCGGGCUUAACCUGGGAACUGCAUUGGUGACUGGCGGGCUAGAGUGUGGCAGAGGGGGGUAGAAUUCCACGUGUAGCAGUGAAAUGCGUAGAGAUGUGGAGGAAUACCGAUGGCGAAGGCAGCCCCCUGGGCUAACACUGACGCUCAUGCACGAAAGCGUGGGGAGCAAACAGG